rnacentral:rRNA from 1 species
UGAGGAAUAUUGGUCAAUGGCCGGAAGGCUGAACCAGCCAAGCCGCGUGAAGGACGAAGGUGCCAAGCAUUGUAAACUUCUUUUGUCAAUGGACAAAAUCAGGCUCGAGAGCCUGACCGAGGGUACUUGAAGAAAAAGCAUCGGCUAACUCCGUGCCAGCAGCCG